GGCAAAUUCAAGCAGAAAUUUAAUCAACUAUUCAGAUAGAAGAAAAAGAUAAAUAAAUUUGUUUAUAAUUAUACUUUCUUUUUGUUGUGUUAACGAAGUAAUAGAUCUCUGACAAAAAAAAAAACAUGAAAAAUACGAAGCAAGAAUCUGAGAAAAAGAGAUUUUAAAACCUUUUUGGAGACUGACAGGUCCCAAGUAGUAAAUCUAUUUGAGAUCUGACAGACUCCGAAUAGAAAACUUACUUGAGGUCUACCAGAUGCCAAAUGGAAAACCUAUUUAUCAGAAUAAGAAAUCCACUGAAUCUGUCAGAUUCCAAGUAUACACAUACACAUCACAUAAAUAUAAAGAUAUUAUAAAGAUAAGAAAGAAAAAAC